rnacentral:ncRNA from 2 species
CUAAGUCUUCGGGGCGGGGUGAAAUUCCCCACCGGCGGUAAUGCAGCGUUUCGCUGACAAGCCCGCGAGCUGUUUUUCAGCAGAUUUCGGUGAGAUUCCGAAGCCGACGGUAAAGUCCGGAUGGAAGAAGGCGGCA